CAAGUAUUCAAGUAUAUUACGGUGCAAUUAGGUUAAACAUUACCGUUACACGAAACGAAGAAACGAAUAGUGGCAAUGUUAUAGAAUUUUUGGAAACCGAGCGAACACAUUGGUAUAUAAAACAAUGUUUACCUUAUUAUCGAUGAGUUCGGUUGGCGUGUCGGGGUGCGCGCGUACGAUCGCCGGUUCCGAUUGAGAACGAAACGAAGAGGGAAGAAGAAACGGGGAACAAGGUCGAGGAGAGCUGGGCGAGGAAAGAAACGGAACUUACAGUCUAAUAGGUGGACGUCACGACCUCGACGAGGCGUUUUUUUUAAUGGCACCGAGCUUAAAAUGUAGGGGUCGAUCAGUGUAAACAAAUCUUUGAACAUCGACCGCCAAUGGGAAACGUUUGCAUCGAAGUCAACAUUCCUGCACGGAGUUAAAAUGUCUUUUCAUUUUUUAAAAAGUAUGGUGUACCCGGUGCAUCCUCCCACUCAUGGGCCCCUGGCAUAGAAAUUUGAUACGACUGCCAUUACGAUUUUUAGUACGAGAUGAUAUGAGAAAUCGUAACGCGUUACAGACAGAAUCUAUACUAGAACAACCCCAAGGUAACUAUGUCUCUGGACAGGUGUAGGGGCCUCCAAAAGACAAGCAACUUCUUUGGAUCUGAAAGACACUGAAAUCAUCAAAGACAUUAACACUGUAAACGAUUUACCAUCAGCAGGUAACGUUCCAAGAGCUGCGUAUCCUCAUCCACGUGAGCCGGGAAGCGACGAUCCAGGUCGCGACUUCCUCCCAACGAGUAAAGAAAAAAAAAAAAUAAAAAAUAAAAAUAACGUAGAAAACGAAACGUAGUAGACGGGAAGAAAGAGGACAAGGAUCGGUACAGAGACGUCGAGGUGAAUACGAUAUCACUGAUAUGCAUGUAGGGGGACUUUGGGCUCGAU